GAUGAACGCUGGCGGCGUGCUUAACACAUGCAAGUCGAACGAUGAAGCCCAGCUUGCUGGGUGGAUUAGUGGCGAACGGGUGAGUAACACGUGAGUAACCUGCCCUUAACUCUGGGACAAGCCUGGGAAACUGGGUCUAAUACCGGAUAGGAGCGUCCACCGCAUGGUGGGUGUUGGAAAGAUUUAUCGGUUUUGGAUGGACUCGCGGCCUAUCAGCUUGUUGGUGAGGUAAUGGCUCACCAAGGCGACGACGGGUAGCCGGCCUGAGAGGGUGACCGGCCACACUGGGACUGAGACACGGCCCAGACUCCUACGGGAGGCAGCAGUGGGGAAUAUUGCACAAUGGGCGCAAGCCUGAUGCAGCGACGCCGCGUGAGGGAUGACGGCCUUCGGGUUGUAAACCUCUUUCAGUAGGGAAGAAGCGAAAGUGACGGUACCUGCAGAAGAAGCACCGGCUAACUACGUG
rnacentral:rRNA from 1 species